rnacentral:rRNA from 1 species
CCUACGGGUGGCUGCAGUGGGGAAUAUUGGACAAUGGGCGAAAGCCUGAUCCAGCCAUGCCGCGUGUGUGAAGAAGGCCUUCGGGUUGUAAAGCACUUUCAGUGGGGAAGAAAGCCUUGGGGCUAAUACCCUCGAGGAAGGACAUCACCCACAGAAGAAGCACCGGCUAACUCCGUGCCAGCAGCCGCGGUGAAUACGGAGGGUGCGAGCGUUAAUCGGAAUUACUGGGCGUAAAGCGCGCGUAGGCGGUCUGAUAAGCCGGUUGUGAAAGCCCCGGGCUCAACCUGGGAACGGCAUCCGGAACGGUCAGGCUAGAGUGCAGGAGAGGAAGGUAGAAUUCCCGGUGUAGCGGUGAAAUGCGUAGAGAUCGGGAGGAAUACCAGUGGCGAAGGCGGCCUUCUGGACUGACACUGACGCUGAGGUGCGAAAGCGUGGGUAGCAAACAGGAUUAGAUACCCGAGUAGUC